ACCACCACGCAGUGGCAGUAUCUGAGCCAUGAGUUUUAUCCGAGGCACUAUUAUUGCUAAUUGAAAACUUUUCCUAAUACUCGGCCACGACGAUUUGAAACGCACCUUUUGAGCUCCGCCCCGGGG
rnacentral:snRNA from 1 species